GCUGGUGUGGCGGAAUAGGCAGACGCAAGGGACUUAAAAUCCCUCGGGGGCGACCUCGUACCGGUUCAAGUCCGGUUACCAGCA
rnacentral:tRNA from 1 species